UUCGCUCGCCCUACCGCUGGCGUCGCAGAUCACCUUGUUGUUGAUCGGGCCGGGAAGUAGAAGGAUGAUCUAUCGGCAGACGAGCGCAAGGCGCUCAAGCAAAUCAUAGAGCGGUGGAGUUAAUCACCAUGAACAAGUUCUUCGACGAAUUGCUGGAAAGCGUCCAGCAGAUGGACGAGAUCCACCGCGGCGAACGCCAGCCAUCCCGAGAAUUCACCGUGGACGCCCUGCGGGCGAAGGAGAUCCGCAAGGCCACCGGACUAACCCAAGCCAAGUUCGCGGCCAUGAUUGAGGUGCCGCUCGGCACCCUACGUGAUUGGGAACAAGGCCGUCGCGAACCCACCGGCCCGGCCAAGGCGUUGCUGCGUGCGAUUCAUAAUGAUCCUAAACAUGUUAUUCAGGCGCUGUCUGGUUAGCCGC
rnacentral:misc_RNA from 1 species